UGAUCCUUAAUAAGACGGCAGACGGUACAGGCAUCGACUCCAACACCCUAGCCUUACAGAUGAAGGGCCAUCCUGAGCUGAGGGACUAGCUUCAUGUCGUCACCUCUUGGGGGCCUUUGCCUAUCUACCCUGGGGUGGUCAACUCAGAAUUACCUGGAUCUCAAGACAUCUUUCACCAGGCAUCUUCUCAACAUGCAUCUCGACCCCAAAUGGCAAGCUCAACUGAACCAAUACAUGGUGUCCAAA
rnacentral:lncRNA from 1 species